rnacentral:lncRNA from 1 species
AUGACUCUCCUUCUCGGCCUGCUGCUGUCUUCCCUCCAUGCUUUCCAGGCUACUCCUCCACCUUCCUUGUUCCAGCCCCAACCCUCUGUGGACAACGGACAGGGAAACCCACAGAUUCUCUGCCAGGUGCUGGGUAGCCCUGCUAGAGCCCACGUCCUAUCCUGGUACCAACAACUUCCUGGGAAAAGCCCGACCUUUCUGCUGAGUCAGAGGGAAGGAGCUGCCCCAACCUACGGUUCUGGUGUGACCCCACGCUUCCUGGCUGAGCUAGACCUUGAAAAGAACAGCGUCCGCCUCACUGUGGGCAACGCCGGCCCUGGAGAUGUGGGCAUUUACUAUUGUGCUCUGUGGUAUGCCGGCCAGUACAUCUUUGGAGAAGGCACUUGGUUCCUCUAUCAUGCUGAGAGGUUGCCUCUGGUUCCUCAUCCUCCUCAGCUGACCCUGCUAACUUCAGGCCCUGGAUCUCCCAUACUGUGUGUGGCCAUGGGGCACCAGCCUGCCCCGCUGAGGCUCUCCUGGGCUGUGGAGAGCCAGCUCCACAAGGGGGGAGCUGAGGAGAGCCUGAUGGAGGACAUGGGUGACACUGUGGUCAGCACACUGCAUCUGUCCAACAGGACCCUGGGAGGCACUGUCGUCUGCAAGGCCGACCACGAGAGCGGGACCUCAGUUGCCACACUGAGGCUGCCUCCUUCCAAGAAGCAGGCUAAGUGUUUCUGGGAUGCAGAGCCCUGGAAUGGGGGUCAGGAAAAUGACCAGAAUAUACUAGCCCAGCUGGAGUGGACCCUCACUUUUGCUCUGUAUUGCUACCUGGGGAUGCUAGGAGGAGCUAAGCUCUACGCACUACUUCUGGCUGGUCUGUUGGCAACCCGCCGAUCCCCUGCUCUCCGUGCCGGUUCCCACACUCAGCGGAGGCCCAAGGGAGGGCCGAGGUUCCAGACCCCUUCAAGCUGAAGGCCCACCUUCUGUCAGCUUUAUGUCGUCCUUUCUCCCAGACCUACCUUCGCCUAUCCUCUCUGCAUCCAAUCCCUCUACUCUCUCUUUCAGUC